rnacentral:lncRNA from 1 species
CUGUAAAAUAUUAAAACUCUGCCGUAAACUACUAAUUCCAGCCUAAGGACACCAACUUGACACACAUUAUUCAAAAUCAGAAUUUGCUGAGAUUAUAUAUUUUUCAUACUACAUGUAACAUUUGCAUUAAUUCCGUACAUUAUCAAGAUAAACUUGACACCGUAAAAUCAAAACUUUCUCAAGGUAUGUUUACCUCAAAAUCAAAAACUAUUAAUCAAAUUAAAACUGUCGGUUCCAAAAAUCAAUGUCCUUUAAGCCAUUUCAGAGAUUUUGAUUAAUCAAUUAUCAACGCCCGCAGUUAGUGUUCAGGUACUUUGCCAGUCGAUUAACAAACAUAUGGCAGUUGUUUGCUAGAAUGUGGUACGUAUUACUUCUUCCGUAAGCUUUGGUCCAACUCUUUACGUCACUGAGUAAGCAUUUGCUAUGGCCUUUGGCUCCCCGGUGCCACCAGAUUUGAGACGAACUUGGACUACGAUUCAUGUAGUAGGUCUUGUUGAUCCCCCAUUCGAAAACGUUGCCACGAAACCGGAUCAUACUGUGAGUCAGUGUCUAUGGCCAUAUGAUGUCACGUUUCCGUUUCCCCUUUUUUGCGUCAGGUAAGCUCAUUUCCCCAAGAUAGUAAGGCGUGCC